rnacentral:rRNA from 1 species
AAAACAUUGCCUCAUGUAUAAAAUAUGAGGUAUCACCUGCCCAGUGACAAAAGUUCAACGGCCGCGGUAUCCUAACCGUGCAAAGGUAGCAUAAUCACUUGCCUAUUAAUUGUAGGCUAGUAUGAAGGGGUUAACGAAAUAAAAACUGUCUCAAUUAAUAAUCUAAAAAUUAUUCACUACUUGAAGAAAAGUAGAUAUUCUCGAAGGACAAGAAGACCCUAUAGAGCUUAAUUUUAAAUAUAUAACUACUAUAUAAUAAUAUUCGGUUGGGGCGACCCAGGGCUAAAUAAUCACCCAGAACAUGUAAGAUAACUUAAUCAAUUGAAUGACCCUCUAAAGAUCACAAGACCAAGCUACCUUAGGGAUAACAGGCUAAUCCCACUCAAGAGUUCUUAUCAACAGUGGGGGUUGGCACCUCGAUGUUGGCUUAGGGUAUCUAUAUAGCGCAAAAGUUAUAUAAAGAUGGUUUGUUCAACCAAUAAUACCCUACGUGAUCUG